rnacentral:rRNA from 1 species
GACGAACGCUGGCGGCGUGCUUAACACAUGCAAGUCGAACGGCAACGCCCUGCUUUUGUGGGCUGCCCGAGUGGCGAACGGGUGCGUAACACGUGAGUAACCUGCCCUUGACUUUGGGAUAACUUCAGGAAACUGGGGCUAAUCCCGGAUAGGAGCUCCUGUUGCAUGGUGGGGGUUGGAACGUUUCGGCGGUUGGGGAUGGACUCGCGGCUUAUCAGCUAGUUGGUGGGGUAGUGGCUUACCCAGGCUUUGACGGGUAGCCGGCCUGGGAGGGUGACCGGGCACAUGGGGACUGAGGUACGGCCCAGACUGCAACGGGAGGCAGCAGUGGCGAAUCUUGCACAGUGGGCGGAAGCCUGAUGCAGCGACGCCGCGUUCGUGAUGACGGCCUUCGGGGUGAGAACCGCUUUCGCCUGUGACGAAGCGUGAGUGACGGUAAUGGGUAAAGAAGCACCGGCUAACUACGUG